GAUCCUGGCUCAGGACGGACGCUGGCGGCGCGCCUAACACAUGCAAGUCGAACGAGAGAGAGGAAGCUUGCUUCCUCGAUCGAGUGGCGAACGGGUGAGUAACGCGUGAGGAACCUGCCUCAAAGAGGGGGACAACAGUUGGAAACGACUGCUAAUACCGCAUAAGCCCACGACCCGGCAUCGGGAAGAGGGAAAAGGAGCAAUCCGCUUUGAGAUGGCCUCGCGUCCGAUUAGCUAGUUGGUGAGG
rnacentral:rRNA from 1 species